rnacentral:rRNA from 1 species
AACGUAGGUGGCGAGCGUUAUCCGGAUUUACUGGGCGUAAAGCGUGUGCAGGCGGCCUCACAAGUGGUGUAUGAAAUAUCCAGGCUCAACCUGGAGGGGUUAUGCCAGACUGUGAGGCUAGAGUGCGAGAGAGGGGCGUGGAAUUCCGGGUGUAGUGGUGAAAUGCGUAGAGAUCCGGAGGAACCCCAGAGGCGAAGGCGGCGCCCUGGCUCGCAACUGACGCUCAGACACGACAGCAUGGGGAGCGAACGGG